GAAACGUCCGAAAACAAACCUACCAGCUCAGCGAGCAAAGGCUGCAAAAUUAAAAUACAGGUUUAAAAUGAAUUUUAACAAGAGCACUGGAUGAACUCAAACAAGAUCUCAACUCUUUACAGUUUAUAUCAAUGAUCUGGUUGAAGGAAUAGCAGCUAAAUUUGCUGAUGUCACAAAUAAGACCAGAGAGUGAAUUGUGAAGAGGAUAUAACAAGCCUACAAAGGAUAUAGAUGCCAGUAACAUGUCACUGGAGGAUCCAUGCAAUUGCAAGCUCUUUGGGGCAUUCUGGGCUACUGGCCCACAAUCAGCAUUGCUUCCCCGGAGUGGAGAAACUACGCCAUGUUCUUCAC